rnacentral:lncRNA from 1 species
GAAGGGAAAAAUCUGUAACAAAAAUGUUACUGAUAUUUUAUAUGUAGUUUUUUGAAACUCAAAAACCUUCGAGAACUCGCUCAACUGAUAAAUAUUUACUGAGCCAAUUCAUACCUAUAUUCCUUUCAAAACUUUGAAGUUAAAAUGUAAUUAGCAGCAACCACAAAAGACUUUGCAGCAGCAAGCCUACUAUUGUAAAUACCUUUUGAUUCAAGAUAAAGUAGUUUUUUUACCUCCACUGUUGACACAAAUGAAUUACUAUUUUAGUUUUAAAUGUUAGGUUUGAAAAUCAGAGAAAGCUUCAAAUCUUUUCAGAGACGACAUAAUUCAGGAUCAUCCUAUGUACCUUAAUAUUAAGAGAAAUCUCAAAUAUUGGGCAUCUUCUUAUAGUCUGUCUAGAAGUUUGGGUUUGAUAAAUUGG